UAGGUGCAAGACUUGGUAGCUCUCCAGUCAGAAGUAUUGUUCAGUGUUUAGCUAGAAAAGAAGGAACUGAUGAAUUUUUUACUCUCAAAAUUUUGACAUUGCAAAAUCCAUCAGAGGAAACGCAAGAUGAUCGUCAGGGUAAAAUGUUACUCCAUACGGAAUAUUCUUUAUUAUCGUUGCUUCACGAUCAAGAUGGUGUUGUUCAUCAUCAUGGAUUAUUCAAGGAUGAAGCUUGGGAAGAGAAAGAAUUAUCUACAGCCGAACUUGUUUACACGGGAAGGAAAAAGAAGCGACUGUGUUUGGUACUAGAUUGUCUCUGCGCUCACGAUUUCGGUACGCGCACGGCCGAUAUGGUAAACAUGCAGCAUUACGUGAUUAAAGAAAAGAAAUUACCCGAAAGAGAAGCAAUGUUAAUAUUUCACGAUGUUGUUAGAAUUGUCUGUGCCCUUCAUAAACGAAAUAUAGUACACCGAGAUUUGAAAUUGGGUAAUAUGGUAUUAAACAAAAAGACUCGUCGCAUUGUCAUUACAAAUUUCUGUUUAGGAAAACACCUUCUUAACGAAAAUGAUUUAUUGAAAGAUCAACGAGGUAGCCCCGCGUACAUAAGUCCCGACGUAUUAAGCGGUAAACCGUAUUUAGGAAAACCAAGCGACAUGUGGGCAGUGGGAGUUGUGUUAUUUACUAUGUUAUACGGACAGUUUCCUUUUUACGAUUCUGUUCCUCAAGAAUUAUUCAGGAAAAUUAAGGCAGCUGAAUAUGAAAUUCCUAGCGAGGCUCGUGUUUCAGAAAACACCGUAACACUCAUAAAAAAUCUGUUAGUUUUGGAAGCAAAUAAACGUUUGACAGCCGAACAAGUUUUGGACUCCGUACAUUCCAUUUGCUGUCAAUGGUGGCUAAUAACCGGCGGACCGUUUCAAGUCGUUCCUGACAUAGACAACCAGAAUAAUUCUCAAGAAAAGAACGAUAAGGCGCCGAUGGUCAGCACGACCACGAGCAGUUCUCCGCUGAUGCUGGGCCAGAUAGAAUCGCUCUUGUUGUCCACGCCCGUGACCAGCGAAAGAGUCUGCAAAGAGAAGAGGAUCGUUCACCACCAGAGUCGUUUCAGAGGGAGUUUUCCAAUUAACAGAAUAUACGAAGAAGCCCGACCUCUGACGGCAGCCGAACUGAUGAGCUUUCAACACCUCCUUCCAGGUAGCUCUUAAAAAGGAGAGAGAAUUCAUUUUUGUGUUCAUCAAAGCAUUUUGAAGAGCUCAGAUAACGUUUGACAUUAAAAAUUUCAAAUUUCAAUUGGGGCAACACUAUAAAUUAGUAAUUAUGAAAGGAUUGUUGUUAGCAUGUUUGAAGUUUUGUAUCAAGAGAAAUUUGAUUGCUUUGCAAGUGUAUACUUUUAAAUUUUUUGUCAUGCAACUGUCAGUACUAAAAAGUAGGAAAUGAUUGGUUAUCUAAGAUUUUGCAUAAUUCUACACAAAAUCAGAAUGACUUUGUCAACUCUUUUUGUUCAUUAUAGAAACCUUAUGUAUUGCAUUUUGAAUGAUUUUUUUGAGUAAAAACAAGCUAUUUGUGAUCAACAGAAUUAAAAUAAUUUAUCAAUAUAAUCUUUGCAUAAAAUGCAAAUUCAUUUUCUGUAAACAGUGGCAGCUUA
rnacentral:misc_RNA from 1 species